rnacentral:rRNA from 1 species
AGUUUGAUCAUGGCUCAGAAUGAACGUUGGCGGCGUGGAUUAGGCAUGCAAGUCGAGCGAGAACCCAGCAAUGGGGGACAGCGGCGAAAGGGACAGUAAUGUGUAGAUUAUCUGCCCUCGGGUCCGGGAUAGCUGCGGGAAACUGCAGGUAAUACCGGAUAACAUCUCCGGAUCAAAGGUGUGAUUCCGCCCGAGGAUGAGUCUGCAUCCUAUUAGCUUGUUGGUGGGGUAAUGGCCUACCAAGGCUUUGAUGGGUAGCGGGUGUGAGAGCACGACCCGCGUCAUUGGGACUGAGACACUGCCCAGACACCUACGGGUGGCUGCAGUCGAGAAUCUUCGGCAAUGGGCGCAAGCCUGACCGAGCGACGCCGCGUGUGGGAUGAAGGCCAUCGGGUUGUAAACCACUGUCAGAGGGGAUGAAAUGCAGGUGGGUUCUCCCACUUGUUUGACAUAGCCUCAGAGGAAGGACGGGCUAAGUUCGUG